UGGGGAAUAUUGCACAAUGGAGGGAACUCUGAUGCAGCGACGCCGCGUGAACGAAGAAGGCUUUCGAGUCGUAAAGUUCUUUUAUAUGGGAAGAUAAUGACGGUACCAUAAGAAAAAGCCCCGGCUAACUACGUGCCAGCAGCCGCGGUAAUACGUAGGGGGCUAGCGUUGUCCGGAAUCACUGGGCGUAAAGGGUUCGCAGGCGGAAAUGCAAGUCAGGUGUAAAAGGCAGUAGCUUAACUACUGUAAGCAUUUGAAACUGCAUAUCUUGAGAAGAGUAGAGGUAAGUGGAAUUUUUAGUGUAGCGGUGAAAUGCGUAGAUAUUAAAAAGAAUACCGGUGGCGAAGGCGACUUACUGGGCUCAUUCUGACGCUGGGGAACGAAAGCGUGGGUAGCAAACAGG
rnacentral:rRNA from 2 species